GGCUCAGGAUGAACGCUAGCUACAGGCUUAACACAUGCAAGUCGAGGGGCAGCAUGAACUUAGCUUGCUAAGUUUGAUGGCGACCGGCGCACGGGUGAGUAACACGUAUCCAACCUGCCGAUGACUCGGGGAUAGCCUUUCGAAAGAAAGAUUAAUACCCGAUGGCAUAGUUCUUCCGCAUGGUAGAACUAUUAAAGAAUUUCGGUCAUCGAUGGGGAUGCGUUCCAUUAGGUUGUUGGCGGGGUAACGGCCCACCAAGCCUUCGAUGGAUAGGGGUUCUGAGAGGAAGGUCCCCCACAUUGGAACUGAGACACGGUCCAAACUCCUACGGGAGGCAGCAGUGAGGAAUAUUGGUCAAUGGACGAGAGUCUGAACCAGCCAAGUAGCGUGAAGGAUGACUGCCCUAUGGGUUGUAAACUUCUUUUAUACGGGAAUAAAGUGAGGCAUGUGUGCCUUUUUGUAUGUACCGUAUGAAUAAGGAUCGGCUAACUCCGUG
rnacentral:rRNA from 1 species